AUUGCUUCUCGGCCUUUUGGCUAAGAUCAAGUGUAGGAUCUAUUUCCACCUAAAGGAAGUGCAGAUGUUAGUAAUCCAGGUUAGUAUAGUGGUUCCACUAAGUCAUCUGCACUUCUGUUCUCUUUGUUUUUGUUUUAUUUUGUUUUGGGUACUGGGU
rnacentral:snRNA from 1 species